UACGUAGGGUGCAAGCGUUGUCCGGAAUUAUUGGGCGUAAAGAGCUCGUAGGCGGUUUGUCGCGUCUGCUGUGAAAGACCGGGGCUCAACUCCGGUUCUGCAGUGGGUACGGGCAGACUAGAGUGCGGUAGGGGUGACUGGAAUUCCUGGUGUAGCGGUGAAAUGCGCAGAUAUCAGGAGGAACACCGGUGGCGAAGGCGGGUCGUCUGGGCCGAUACUGACGCUGAGGAGCGAAAGCGUGGGGAGCGAACAGG
rnacentral:rRNA from 1 species